UGAGGAAUAUUGGUCAAUGGGCGGAAGCCUGAACCAGCCAAGUAGCGUGAGGGAUGACUGCCCUAUGGGUUGUAAACCUCUUUUAUAAGGGAAUAAAAUACGGGACGUGUCCUGUUUUGCAUGUACCUUAUGAAUAAGGACCGGCUAAUUCCGUGCCAGCAGCCGCGGUAAUACGGAAGGUCCGGGCGUUAUCCGGAUUUAUUGGGUUUAAAGGGAGCGCAGGCGGUCUUAUAAGCGUGACGUGAAAUGCAGCGGCUCAACCGUAUGAUGUGCGUCGCGAACUGUGAGACUUGAGUGUAUUCGAUGUCAGCGGAAUUUGUGGUGUAGCGGUG
rnacentral:rRNA from 1 species